GUGCUUGCUUUGGCAGCACAUAUACGAAAAUUGGAAUGAUACAGAGAAGAUUAGCAUGACCCCUGCACAAGGAUGAUGCACAAAUCCAUGAAGCAUAUAUUUU
rnacentral:snRNA from 1 species